rnacentral:rRNA from 1 species
AGUGAACGCUGGCGGUAGGCCUAACACAUGCAAGUCGAACGGCAGCACAGAGGAGCUUGCUCCUUGGGUGGCGAGUGGCGGACGGGUGAGGAAUACAUCGGAAUCUACUCUGUCGUGGGGGAUAACGUAGGGAAACUUACGCUGAUAUCGCAUACGACCUACGGGUGAAAGCAGGGGACCUUCGGGCCUUGCGCGAUUGAAUGAGCCGAUGUCGGAUUAGCUAGUUGGCGGGGUAAGGGCCCACCAAGGCGACGAUCCGUAGCUGGUCUGAGAGGAUGGUCAGCCACACUGGAACUGAGACACGGUCCAGACUCCUACGGGAGGCAACAGUGGGGAAUAUUGGACAAUGGGCGCAAGCCUGAUCCAGCCAUACCGCGUGGGUGAAGAAGGCCUUCGGGUUGUAAAGCCCUUUUGUUGGGAAAGAAAUCCAGCUGGCUAAUACCCGGUUGGGAUGACGGUACCCAAAGAAUAAGCACCGGCUAACUUCGUGCCAGCAGCCGCCGUAA